AAGGGUUCUUGAAAACCCGGCAUAUAUAAAAGGAGGCUGCUGGAAAGCAGCUCUCUGGUUGGCCUAUUCGGCGUCCCAGAGGAUUGCUUGAGUCACACAAGAAAGGGGAGACCACAAACAUCGCUUGCUAUUCCAGAGGGAGAUGCUGAGUUCUGCUUGAAGGCACUGCUGUCGCAUCAUCUGCUUAUUUUAAGCUACAGUGAAGGAACGCUGCAGGCUCUCCAAAUAACCUGGAUAGACCAGUAUAAAGGAAGGAUUACUUCUGAAGCAAACCAGCUCUUUUCAGCGAUGGAAAAAACGUUACUUUAAGCUUCGGGGCCGAACCCUUUACUAUGCCAAGGAUUCAAAGUCUUUAAUCUUCGAUGAAGUUGACUUGUCGGAUGCCAGUGUGGCUGAAUCAAGCACAAAAAAUGUCAACAACAGCUUUACGGUAUGCUUCCAAUAUUCUUGAUGUUCUAACAAGUU